UUGGUGUGAAUUGCAGAAUUCAGUGAAUCAUCGAAUCUUUGAACGCACAUUGCGCCCGCCAGUAUUCUGGCGGGCAUGCCUGUCCGAGCGUCAUUUCAACCCUCGAACCCCUCCGGGGGGUCGGCGUUGGGGAUCGGCCCUGCCUUUGGCGGUGGCCGUCUCCGAAAUACAGUGGCGGUCUCGCCGCAGCCUCUCCUGCGCAGUAGUUUGCACACUCGCAUCGGGAGCGCGGCGCGUCCACAGCCGUUAAACACCCAACUUCUGAAAUGUUGACCUCGGAUCAGGUAGGAAUACCCGCUGAACUUAAGCAUAUCAAUA
rnacentral:rRNA from 1 species